UCCUUAACCUACCGGAUCUCAGAUUACCAAUUGGCGCCGUUUGUGGAAAACGAAGGAAGAUUAUCCAAUCACCAUAGUUUUUCAAACAAAAUCCACUAAGGUCCAUAUGGCUAACCAAGAAAAUAUCCACUUGACACCCGUUGGAAACAAAAACCCAACUCCAGAAACUCCUGAUCCUCAGGGAUUUCCUAUGACAUUAUUUCCACUCCUCUCCAAUCAAAUAAUGUCCAACACAUCUUCU
rnacentral:lncRNA from 1 species